CAGUAGCCGCGGGAAUACAGAGGGUGCGAGCGUUAAUCGGAUUUACUGGGCGUAAAACGUGCGUAGGCGGCUUCUUAAGUCGGAUGUGAAAUCCCUGAGCUUAACUUAGGAAUUGCAUUCGAUACUGGGAAGCUAGAGUAUGGGAGAGGAUGGUAGAAUUCCAGGUGUAGCGGUGAAAUGCGUAGAGAUCUGGAGGAAUACCGAUGGCGAAGGCAGCCAUCUGGCCUAAUACUGACGCUGAGGUACGAAAGCAUGGGGAGCAAACAGGAUUAGAUACCCGCGUAGUCCCUGUCUCUUAUAC
rnacentral:rRNA from 1 species